rnacentral:lncRNA from 1 species
AUGGCGGCUGCCACGGACACUCAGGAAGACCACGAUACUUCCAUUGAGAAUGAAGACGAGUCCAACCAUGACCCUCAGUUUAAGCCAGUAGUUUCUCUUCCUGAGCAAGAAAUUUUAAAACGCUGGAGGAAGAUGAAGAGGAACUUUUUUUUUUUUGAGGAACUUUUUAAAAUGGGGGCGAAACUGUGAUUUGCCGCAGAGAACCGUCUCCUAGAAUGGAACGAGCGAGGCACUGGUGACGUCAAGCUCCUGAAGCACAAGGAGAAGGGGACCACCCGCCUCCUCAUGAGGAGGGACAAGACCCUGAAGAUUUGUGCCAACCACUACACGCCAAUGGUGGAGCUGAAACCCAACGUGGGUAAUGACCAUGCCUGAGUCUGGAACGACGAGUGCCCCAAGCCAGAGCUGCUGGCCAUCCGCUUCCUGAAUGCUGAGAAUGCACAGAAAUUCAAAACAAAGUUUGAAGAAUGCAGUAAAGAGAUUGGAGAGAGAGAAAAGAAAAGAUCCGGCAAAAAAGCGAUCAUGCCGAAAAAGUGGCGGAAAAGCUAGAAGCUCUUUCGGUGAAGGAGAAGGGAGAAGACCAAGGAGGAUGCUGAGGAGAAACAAU